CAUACUAUAGUAAGGCUUAAAAAGUUAUAGAGUAGUAAGGCAUGAAUAGUGUCAUGCCCUCUGCCCCUGCUCCCUGCUUGUGUGUUCAAAUCUGAUUACAGAUGGGAGACUGCUGUGCUGGAGUCGGGGCCUCUCAGCUGCUGCUCAUCUGGUCAUCAACCCACACUACAUAAGAUCUUGGGCCACAGUCAGUCAGCGCUGGAUUAUAGACACUGCUUCCUCUACACCCUCCGCCCUGACUCCAGCCUGCAUCUCAAGCCAGAGCUCAUUCUCCGCCAGCCUGCCCAUCUGCCUUCAUCUGCCAGCACCUGCCUCCCUGCCAUACCAUCCUACACAAUAAACACUCUUGUUACCUGA